rnacentral:rRNA from 1 species
UACGUAGGGUGCAAGCGUUGUCCGGAAUUAUUGGGCGUAAAGAGCUCGUAGGCGGUUUGUCGCGUCUGCUGUGAAAACCCGAGGCUCAACCUCGGGCCUGCAGUGGGUACGGGCAGACUAGAGUGCGGUAGGGGAGAUUGGAAUUCCUGGUGUAGCGGUGGAAUGCGCAGAUAUCAGGAGGAACACCGAUGGCGAAGGCAGAUCUCUGGGCCGUAACUGACGCUGAGGAGCGAAAGCAUGGGGAGCGAACGGG